rnacentral:rRNA from 1 species
GACGAACGCUGGCGGCGUGCUUAACACAUGCAAGUCGAACGGAAAGGCCCUGCUUUUGUGGGGUUCUCGAUUGGCGAACGGGUGAGUAACACGUGAGUAACCUGCCCUUGACUUUGGGAUAACUUCAGGAAACUGGGGCUAAUACCGGAUAUGAGCUCCUGCUGCACGGUGGGGGUUGGAAAGUUUCGGCGGUUGGGGAUGGACUCGCGGCUUAUCAGCCUGUUGGUGGGGUAGUGGCUUACCAAGGCUUUGACGGGUAGCCGGCCUGGGAGGGUGACCGGCCACAUUGGGACUGAGAUAGGGACCAGACUCCUACGGGCGGCAGCAGUGGGGAAUAUUGCACAAUGGGCGGAAGCCUGAUGCAGCAACGCCGCGUGCGGGAUGACGGCCUUCGGGUUGUAAACCGCUUUCGCCUGUGACGAAGCGUGAGUGACGGUAAUGGGUAAAGAAGCAACGGCUAACUACGUG